rnacentral:rRNA from 1 species
UGGGGAAUAUUGGACAAUGGGCGCAAGCCUGAUCCAGCCAUGCCGCGUGAGUGACGAAGGCCUUAGGGUUGUAAAGCUCUUUUGCCGGGGACGAUAAUGACGGUACCCGGAGAAUAAGUCCCGGCUAACUUCGUGCCAGCAGCCGCGGUAAUACGAAGGGGACUAGCGUUGUUCGGAAUCACUGGGCGUAAAGCGCACGUAGGCGGAUUUGUCAGUCAGGGGUGAAAUCCCGGGGCUCAACCUCGGAACUGCCUCCGAUACAGCAAAUCUCGAGUCCGGAAGAGGUGGGUGGAAUUCCUAGUGUAGAGGUGAAAUUCGUAGAUAUUAGGAAGAACACCAGUGGCGAAGGCGGCCCACUGGUCCGGUACUGACGCUGAGGUGCGAAAGCGUGGGGAGCAAACAGG